CCCUUAGAUGUUCUGGGCUGCACGCGCGCUACACUGAUGCGAUCAACAAGUUUUUCCUAUGUCGAUAGACACGGGUAAUCUUUUGAACUCGCAUCGUGAUGGGGAUAGAUUAUUGUAAUUAUUAAUCUUCAACAAGGAAUUCCUAGUAGGUGCAAAUCAUCAGUUUGCAUCGAUUACGUCCCUGCCCUUUGUACACACCGCCCGUCGCUGCUACCGAUUGGUUGAUCUGGUGAAUUAUUCGGACUGCCGGCUGAAGGGGUUUCCUCAUCUGCCAGCGGAAAGUCUUGUUAACCCUAUCAACUAGAGGAAGCAGAAGUCGUAACA
rnacentral:rRNA from 1 species